UCUCCGUAGGUGAACCUGCGGAGGGAUCAUUACAGAGCUCAUGCCCUACCGGGUAGAUCUCCCACCCUAUGUUAUUAUUACUUUGUUGCUUUGGCGGGCCGUUAGGCUCCGGCCCGACUACCGGCCCCGGCUGGUAAGCGCCCGCCAGAGGACCCAAAACCCUGAAUAUUAGUGUCGUCUGAGUACUAUAUAAUAGUUAAAACUUUCAACAACGGAUCUCUUGGUCCUG
rnacentral:misc_RNA from 1 species